AUGCCACCGCCUCAACUUGAAAAUCUUUCAAUUGAGGGUUACAAAUCUACAAAAUAUCCAGGCUGGUUACUUGAUGGUUCCUAUUUUGAGGAUUUGAGAUCUUUAAGCUUUGUUGCUUGCAGCGCGUUGCAAAGCCUACCAUCCAAUACUGAGGUUUUUCGGAAUUGCUCUUCACUUCACGUCAGCAAUAUGCCACACCUGAAGACAUUACCUUGUCUUCCACUAGGCCUUAAAAGAUUAAUAAUAUCCAACUGCCCACUGCUUAUAUUUAUUUCGAACAAUGAGCCGGAACAUCAAGAGCAGAGGGAGAAUAUCUCAAGGACAGACCACUUGGCAUCACAGCUUGGUUUAAUCUGGGAGGUGGAUUCAGGAUCAGGUAUAAGGAUAAUACUCUCAUCGGAACAUUCAUUUCUGAAGCAGAUGAUGAUAUUGAUGCUUGCUGAUAUGUCACAUGUUCAAAACCUUGAAUGUGCUCUAGAAAGAGAGAAAGAUGAAGCAUUUGUAAAAGAGGAUAUCAUCAAGGCAUGGAUACACUGUCACGAGCAGAGGAUGAGGUUCAUGUAUGGAAGGAGCAUUGGGCUACCGCUGGUUCCACCAUCAGGACUUCAUAGACUUUCUCUUUCUUCAUGCAGUAUUACCGAUGGAGCUUCAGCUGUUUGCCUUGAUGGUCUGGCUUCACUGAAACAUUUGUCCUUAGUAGAGAUUAUGACUAUAACUACACUUCCUUCAGAAGAGGUCCUCCAACAUUUGACAAAACUUGAUUUCUUGUUCAUCAAAUAUUGCCGGUGUCUCAGGUCAUUAGGGGGUUUACGAGCUGUUACCUCUCUUUCAGAAGUUAGAUUGAAUUCUUGCCCUUCUUUAGAGUUGGAACGUGGAGCCGAAUGUUUGCCAUUAACCCUUGAGAAGCUCAGUAUACAUGAUUGUGUGCUUGCAGCUGACUUCUUCUGUGCUGACUGGCCACACAUGAAUAAUAUCUUGAUAAGCAGUUGUAGAAGCACGGCAUGCUUAUCUGUUGGUAGUCUCACCUCUGUUAAAUCAUUCAUACUCUAUCACUUGCCAGAUUUAUGUACGCUGGAAGGAUUGUCUUCCCUACAACUUCACCAUGUACAUUUGAUUGAUGUUCCGAAACUCACCCCUGAGUGUAUCUCCCUGUUUCAUGUCCAGAAGUCACUCUAUGUUAGCAGUCGUGUAAUACUCAACAACAUGCUCUUGACUGAAGGUAUCACAGUUCCAGCAUUUCUCUCUCUUGAAGGAUGCAAGGAACCAUUUGUUUCAUUCGAAGAAUCCGCAAAUUUCACAUCAGUCACGACUCUGAGAUUCUGCAAUUGUCAAAUGAGUUCCCUGCCAACAAAUAUGAAGUGCUUCUCCAGUCUGAGGAAGCUCGACAUCUUUAGAUGUCCCAACAUAUCAUCUUUACCAGAUCUGCCAUCCUCCCUCCAGCACAUAUGUGUAUGGCGUUGUGAGCUGUUGAAGGAGAGCUGCCGGGCACCUGAUGGAGAAAGUUGGCCAAAGAUCGCGCACAUCCACUGGAAGGAAUUUAGAGUGUGA
rnacentral:rRNA from 1 species